rnacentral:rRNA from 1 species
UACGUAGGGGGCAAGCGUUGUCCGGAUUUAUUGGGCGUAAAGAGCGUGUAGGCGGCCAGAUAGGUCCGUUGUGAAAACUCGAGGCUCAACCUCGAGACGCCGAUGGAAACCAUUUGGCUAGAGUCCGGAAGAGGAGAGUGGAAUUCCUGGUGUAGCGGUGAAAUUCGUAGAUAUUAGGAAGAACACCAGUGGCGAAGGCGGCUUCUGGCUCAUUACUGGACGUUCAGGUACGAAAGCGUGGGUGAGCAAACAGG